GACAUUCAUGAUGACGUUACGAUUGUAAACAAACUCGAGCUCGAAGACGCACACUGUACGAUGUCGCAUUUAGUCUAUUCUAAAGCAGUCCAGAAACAUACAUGGGCGAUUCGUUAGAAGUAAAACGCAGUUAUAGAUCAGUCUGCAUCCGAUAUUCUCACAAGUGAGUGGCAGACAAAGAAAAUUACAGACAAGCAGACACAACCACGCACAUGGUGACACACUACAGUACUGUACAUAGUGUCAGACGAAAGGGGGGAAUGGAAGGAUGUUAGCAAUGUAGUACCCGAAUCAUAGGCUGCUGAUCUAGUAUUGAAUGAAUUUCUACAUCCAUUUGGUAACCACAGUGAGAGGGAUGAGUUGUUCUAUCAUCAUAUGAAGAACCAUACCAGGAAGUGCAGAUUUCGUCCUCAUGGCCACAUGGAAGUUGACUGUUAAAAGUAGUUUCUAGAUGAUAACUCAAAUACUUUGCAUUCUAUUCAAACCAAAUUUGGACAUAUGGAUACAUACAAAGACGGGAAGAUGCCUAUCAAUUUUGGGAUCAGAAGGUCAAAGAUCAAGGUUACACUGCAUGGAAUUAGAAAAUGCUGAUGCGGGGGGCAUAUGUUUUUACACAUUCUGUAGUUAUAAAUGAAUUAGUAUUGUAUAUAUGCAUAUAUUAUUUAUGUUUUCUGAUUAUUUAUCAUAUAAUGAAAUAAAUAUAUAGAAUUUGUAAAUAUGAAUUGAAAAAUACACAUUUUAUAACAAAUCGUAUAUUGUUAUUGUUUAGAAUGUAUGUCAUUGUAAGAAGGGGGGUGUCCCACAAAAUGAUUCAAAUCUUUGUUCCAAUGCACACUACCCCUCACAUUUUUUUUCAUUUAAAUUAAGCAAAAAUAUUAUUCAAAUCUACAUUAGUAAUUUCAGAAAAAGUUUGAUACAGAUAUUCUCCCUAGGUUGAAUUUUUUGUUGAAAUUGUUCGUCAACUUUGUGUGAUAUUUUAUACAAUUAUGUUAAUUAAUACUUGAUUUUUUGUAGAAUUGGUGAUAUAUUUUAUGUAAAAGUUAUUCAAAUAAUCAAUUAUGCUUAAUUUUCAUAAAAUAAAAGAAAGCCA